rnacentral:rRNA from 1 species
GACGAACGCAGGCGGCGUGCUUAACACAUGCAAGUCGAGCGAUGAAGUUUUUUCGGAAGUGGAUUAGCGGCGAACGGGUGAGGAACACGUGAAGAAUCUGCCCUCCACGUUGGGAUAACACAGGGAAACCUGUGCUAAUACCGAAUAUUGAAACAUAAGUGGCAUCACUGAGUUUUGAAAGAAUUUCGGUGGAGGAUGACUUCGCGGCCUAUCAGCUAGUUGGUGAGGUAAUGGCUCACCAAGGCAACGACGGGUAGCCGGCCUGAGAGGGCGACCGGCCACACUGGGACUGAGACACGGCCCAGACUCCUACGGGAGGCAGCAGUGGGGAAUAUUGGGCAAUGGAGGAAACUCUGACCCAGCGACGCCGCGUGCGGGAUGAAGGCCUUCGGGUUGUAAACCGCUUUCAGUAGGGAAGAAGCGAAAGUGACGGUACCUACAAAAGAAGCACCGGCUAACUAUGUGCCAGCCGCCGCAGUAA